ensembl:lncRNA
CGUGAAAAAUCUGGUCGUAAAAAGCCAGAGUGUUUGCAAUAAAAUAUCUAUACAUAAGGGGAGAAGAGGGAGGGGGAAGCAGUUCUGGACACAAAGCAGAGCAAUAGGCUGUGAAAAGUGACGUCUGGUCCAGAUGGAGAAAGUGUAAAUCCAGCUGUCAGUGCAAUAAUAUCUCUCAGCACCUUGUAUGCAUUUCCCUCAGGGGAGGUGACACGCACGCUGGUGGCUGAUGUGGGACAGGAGUUGGAUCCUGAUGGUUGCUGAAGUGCAGGAGGGUGAGGAGAUGUGCUUGGAGCCUCUCAGGUUUGUCAGCAGAUCUGGAAAAGUCCUGGCUGUGUCUGCAAGAGAGGACUUUCCCUCUUUGGUGUUGCAGAAGAGGGGCUGCUGCAGGGGUUUGCGUUUGGGAAGAUGAUCUGGAGUGCAGCAGAACACAAGAGAUAGAAUCACAGAAUCAUUAUGAUUGGAAAAGACCAUGAAGAUCAUCUAGUCCCACUGUCAACCCAUCACCACCAUGCCUACUAAUCCAUCCCCAUCUACCAGGGGUGGUGACUGCACCACUUUCCUGGGCAACCUCAGGGUUGGCAAAAGCAGGUCAUGAAGAGAAUGUUAAGGCAGAGAAAUGAAUUAAGUACCCGGGAACCUGAGUAAUCCCCACUGGCUUGACCCAGUGCAGUCCACUUCUAUGGAUUGAUGAGGACUCAGGAGCACGCAUUGGAAAUUAGGUUCUGUCAGAGGAAUCAAAAUGGGAGUGAAAGCCUCUGUGACCAAAAACAGUGGACUUCAGAGUUUGCACUGGGGACAACAGGUGGUGAUCCCUGGUCAGUAUUACUCAGAGAUGCAUCUAUCUCAGGGGGGAGUAAGGAGGGAAGAGUAAUAAACAGCAGCAAGACCCUGGGAUGUCUCCAGCUGCUAAAAGCCUGUAGAAUUUGAAUCAAGGGAGGAAAUUUUUCUUUUGGCAGUCCCUUCUGAACUACAGGAUGUUUAGCUCCCAAACAUGUCUCUGUUACUUGUGCUCACGGAAUAGACUCAUCUAGCUGCUGGGCUGCAAGAGCAUACAGGCAAUCUGUUUUUCCGAGGACUAAGCAAAUAAGAAGCUUCAACAAAAAAAGGUGUUUUUGCCAGUAAUUGCUCAAGUGGCCUCAAGAUGAACUCUUUCCUUUUAGCUUUCUGACCACUCUGGACUAAGUAGCAGGUGUCUCUGCCACACAACAAGAAGAAAUAGAUAUUUUGCCAUAAACUCAUGUCCAAGAGUGCUUCAGAUCUUUGAGCUUCAUGAGUGUCCUCCUUAGGAAAGAACUAUGAACAACUCUGAAGGCAAUAUGGGC